UACGUAGGCAGCGAGCGUUGUUCGGAGUUACUGGGCGUAAAGAGUGCGUAGGCGGUUUUCUAAGUUUGGUGUGAAAUCUCCCGGCUUAACUGGGAGGGUGCGCCGAAAACUGGAAGGCUUGAGUAUGGGAGAGGUAAGCGGAAUUCCAGGUGUAGCGGUGAAAUGCGUAGAUAUCUGGAGGAACACCGGUGGCGAAGGCGGCAUCCUGGACCAACACUGACGCUGAGGAGCGAAAGCCAGGGGAGCAAACGGG
rnacentral:rRNA from 1 species